CAGUCGCCGCGGUAAAACGUAGGGUGCAAGCGUUAAUCGGAAUUACUGGGCGUAAAGCGUGCGCAGGCGGUGUUGUAAGACUGAUGUGAAAUCCCCGGGCUCAACCUGGGAACUGCAUUGGUGACUGCAACGCUGGAGUGCGGCAGAGGGGGAUGGAAUUCCGCGUGUAGCAGUGAAAUGCGUAGAUAUGCGGAGGAACACGGAUGGCGAAGGCAAUCCCCUGGGCCUGCACUGACGCUCAUGCACGAAAGCGUGGGGAGCAAACAGGAUUAGAUACCCCCGUAGUCCCUGUCUCUUAUAC
rnacentral:rRNA from 1 species